CUGUCCACUGGAGUUCUCCUCAAACCACUUCAGUACAGUUAGUUAGGCCUCACAUUGCAUUGCACUGUUAUGUAACUGUGGGCAUGGGGCCAAAAGCUAGCUAUGUAUAGUGAAGUGUUUGGGGAACUCUGGAUGGCAA
rnacentral:pre_miRNA from 1 species